UGACAGCUAACUGGGAGUACUGGGAGUACACAAUAAAGGUGGAAAAGAAAGAAAAAAUGUCACAGACCAGUUGUAUGGGAGGUUUUUCCUCCUGAACGUUAAAAGUUGAUAUGUAUCAUAUCAUGGAGUUGUAUGUUGAUGAUACUAUUGUUUCCACACAUGGUCGAAAAUAUUUCAGACUACAUCAAGUCCAUUUAUGUUCCUCAGUCUGUGUCUGUGGGAACAAAUAUUUUUAGUUUUGAAGUCAUCAUAGUUUUAAGACAUUUUGUUGACUGACUUCAUAGAAAGUCAAGAAAAGAUACGACUGAAAUAAUAAAUAAAUUCCACUCUAUAUUUGAAGGUUAAUGUUUUGCAAACCUCAGUCUCAGUGGAAAACUGCAACACACGCCUCAGCUGUCACUCAGCAGCAGCACUGACAGCUGCAGCAGUUAAUGGGAGGUUUUAGGAGUUGUUAGAAACACGUGGUCCUCGUCUGAUCAUAUAAAUUGUCCUUGUUUGGCCUCGUUUCUAUCAAAGCAUCACUUCUCCUGAGAUUCACCAGAGGAAACGUCACUGAACACAACGGUUCACACAAUGCUUUUCCUCCCAGCUGCUGCUCUGUGUUGUCUGUGUUUAGCGCUGGUUACCAUGGCCGCAGAGCUGAUGCAGAAAGAUUUAACUUUGACUGCGACACCUGGCAAAAAAGUCUCCUUCAGCUGUGGAACUGCCCAGUGCAGUGGCAGCUAUGUGCACUGGUACCAGAAGAAAGACGAUGAUAAGUUCAGAGUGAUUCUUGAUAUUAACAUACGCACUGGUGAAGUCGACAGUGACUACAACCAUGCUCAGAAAAAAGAUUUCUCAGCUGUGAAAAACGAGAACAGCUGUGAGUUGGAGAUAAAUGCAGUUAGCCUCGUUCAUUCAGCCAUCUACUACUGCUGCUGUGCUCAAAGCUCUCACAGUGACAAAAGAUCCCUGCAGACUGAACAAAAACCAUCAAAGGAACAGCAGCAGACCACAGACCAGGUUCACACACA
ensembl:lncRNA